rnacentral:rRNA from 1 species
GGCUCUCCAGGGAGCAAUGUGCACACCUUGUCAUCUUUAUAUCUCCACCUGUGCACUUUUUGUAGACCUUUUCCGGUCUAUGUUGCUUCAUUUUACCCCAAUUGUAUGUCAAUAGAAUGUUGUGCCUUUAUAAUAUAUACAACUUUCAGCAACGGAUCUCUUGGCUCUCGCAUCGAUGAAGAACGCAGCGAAAUGCGAUAAGUAAUGUGAAUUGCAGAAUUCAGUGAAUCAUCGAAUCUUUGAACGCACCUUGCGCUCCUUGGUAUUCCGAGGAGCAUGCCUGUUUGAGUGUCAUUAAUAUAAUCUCAACCCCUUCUCUUGUUGAAGGGUUUGGAUGUGGGGGUUUGCUGGCCUUCUCAAAAGGUUCAGCUCCUCUGAAAUGCAUUAGCAGAACGACCUUGCUCAUUGGUGUGAUAACUAUCUACGCUUAUGAAUGUGAGGGGCAGUUCAGCUUUCUAACUGUCUUUUUGGACAAAUCAUCAUUAAUGUGACCUCAAAUCAGGUAGGACUACCCGCUGAACUUAAGCAUAUCAAUAA